UCUUACAGCCAUACCACCCUGAAACGUGCCUCAUUUGGGAAGCUAAGCAGGGUCGAGCCUGGUUAGUACUUGGAUGGGAGUUACACUUUCUAUAUGAGUUUGCUAACAGAA
rnacentral:rRNA from 1 species